ACUUCCGGGUAAACACACGCAGAUCAUUGCUACGCUUGCGCAAGCGCCGUCCAAAUUAGUUUAUUCAUAAUGUUUGACAUUCUUGUGAUUCAUGUUGUCCAGAGAGAGGUGCAACCCAACAGGCACAAAACGUACUUGGCAGCAACUGAAGAUGAAAUGUAAAAAUAUACUUCCAACUGCCAAUAGAAAAAGUCUGAGGGAUGAAAUACAGGUGAGGGUUCACCUGAGGCUGAGUAGAUGGCCCUCAGUCAAAACAGUGGGGGACCUAUUGCUGAAGGCAUCACUGAAUUCCCCCCCCCAUAGGACAAGGGCCUACAUAAGAGGUUAGUUAUUCAAAUUAAUGAUAUGUACAUUAAUCUUUUUGACAGUGUUACCUCAGUGACACCCACCCAUCCAUCCAUAUUAGACACAACUUGGCACACAGAUUUUUUUUGUAGCGGUACAAUUCUUUGUAAUUGACGACUGUUACUUUUUCAGUUGUCCUUCAGACAUCA